UACGUAGGAUCCAAGCGGUGUCCGGAUUUACUGGGUGUAAAGGGGGCGCAGGCGGACUGGUUAGUCUGGGGUGAAAUCUCAUCGCUUAACGGUGAAACUGCCUUAGAUACUGCCAGUCUUGAAUCAGCGAGAGGUUCGUGGAAUUCCGAGUGUAGCAGUGAAAUGUGUAGAUAUUCGGAAGAACACCAGUGGCGAAGGCAGCGAACUGGCGCUCGAUUGACGCUCAGGCACGAAAGCAUGGGGAUCAAACAGG
rnacentral:rRNA from 1 species